rnacentral:rRNA from 1 species
ACGAAGGGGGCUAGUGUUGUUAGGAAUAACUGGGCGUAAAGCGCACGUAGGCGGACUUUCAAGUCAGGGGUGAAAUCCCGGGGCUCAACCUCGGAACUGCCUUUGAUACUGUUGGUCUCGAGUCCGGAAGAGGUGGGUGGAAUUCCUAGUGUAGAGGUGAAAUUCGUAGAUAUUAGGAAGAACACCGGUGGCGAAGGCGGCCCACUGGUCCGGUACUGACGCUGAGGUGCGAAAGCGUGGGGAGCAAACAG